rnacentral:rRNA from 1 species
GUGCCAGCCGCCGCGGUAAUACCGGCAGCCCAAGUGAUGGCCGCUGUUAUUGGGCCUAAAGCGUCCGUAGCUGGCCGCACAAGUCCAUCGGGAAAUCCACUCGCUCAACGAGUGGUCGUCCGGUGGAAACUCCACACCUUGGGACCGGAAGGCUCGAAGGGUACGGCCGGGGUAGGAGUGAAAUCCUGUAAUCCCGUCCGGACCACCGAUGGCGAAAGCACUUCGAGAAAACGGAUCCGACAGUGAGGGACGAAAGCUAAGAUCGCGAACCGGAUUAGAAACCCCGGUAGUCC